UCCCAUCAAAGAAUUCACCUUGCAAGCCAAUACACACAAUAGCCCAAACGGCGGGGUUAUGUCCAAGAAUAUGCAUUUUCAUCUUAUGCUUCCAACUAGCGAAAUUAGUACCCCCUCCGUCUGGGAAAAGUUGUCUCUGGCUUAGUUCAUUCGCAACUUUACAAAAAAGCCCUUAUGAUUCUAAAUCGCUUGCUACUUACCCCCAUCUUCUUCCUCCCUUCCCUCGUCGCCCGCGGCAGGAACCAGGCGCAGCCAUCAGCGGCAGCCGUCGCAGGGCCUAGCGCGCCGCCGCCUACCUGUGUCGCUGCUGCGCCUCUGCUGGUCCGCUGCCAAUCUGCGUCGCCCCUGCCCACAUGCGCUGCUCGCAUGGAGGCGAGCUCUGCCACCGCCCAUCUGCCGUUUUUGCUCCUCCAUGGCGACCGCUUCGACGGGCGGCUCCUCCUCAUCGCAUUGAUCAUCUCCGCCGCCGCUUCCUGGCGCCCGCCGUGGCCACCCACUCUGGUGCGGGGUUUGGGAAGUCACUGCUGCUCCUUCCCCACCCAUGCCCCUGCUGCGACUCCUGAGAUGCAUGAAGAUAUUUGGAAACAAUCAAUCAAUUUUUGGAAUAAAUAAAUCAACUUCGGGAAACAUCAAUCAACGAAUUUUUGAAACAAUCAAUCAAUUUUUGGAAUAAAUCAAUUAACUUUGGGAAACAAUCAAUCACUUUUCAGUGCACAAUCAAUCAAUUUAUUUUGGAAACAAGCCAUAUGAUUCCACCAGAUUCCUUAAGGCUAACUAGGCUAUGUUUUGAUUAGUUAAAUAAGAUCAUAUUGGCCUUUGCACUAUCCAUUAUCUCCAUUAGUGAUUCUACUGAAAAUAUCCCAUAUCACUGUCUUACAAGGUUAUUACAAACAUCGGUGUUUAUCUCACCAUUGAUAAGGCAAGGUUACUCCUCUAAAUAAAUGUUGAAUUUGCCCCCAAGAGAGGAGAUGAAUAAUUUUUAGUACCAAUGUGUCAGGAGAACUAUAUAGAAGGUCUAUAGUGCUUACAUGAACCAAUGCUGCCAUUUUCUAUAUAUAGAAGGUCUAUAUAUUCAGAUUACAUGAACAUAAAUGCAACAUCUAUUCUUUAUCAGAUUGGAGAAGAAAAUGAUUGAUAAAGAAAUGCUUUUAUAUAUUCAGAUUAUAUAUAGAAGGUCUAGAGUACUUACAUGAACCAAUGAUUGAUAAAGAAAAUGCUACCACAUGUCCACGCAAAUUCAGUAUCCACAUGUCCACAAUUCAGUGUUAACACAAAUUCAUUAUUCGGUGCUACCACAUGUCCACACGACGACAUCAGGAUGAUUGAUAAAGAAAUGCAUAACACUACAUUAACACCACAUCCUGCAUGUUUCAGUUUUCAGUUUUGACAGUGAAAAAUUUUACUAAAUUUUCCUUAAGCAUGUUACUUAAGGAACAGGGGCCCUUCUUUCCACCUUGCUAUUGAGCCAACUGUAAUUGGGAGGAAUCUGAACCUCUCCCUUGUCCUUCUCCUCUCUCUGAACUAUCUCUCCAGUUUUCUUUACCAAUCAUAACACGAAAGUUUUCAGUUUUGACAGUGACAAAAUCUUGCUCUGAAUUUACACUGUUAAUUUGACAAAAAUCUAGAUUUACACACUGAAUUAGCUUGACGAGAUUCAGUUCAUCUUGCUCAAAUCUAGUCUAAAUUUACAAAACACUACAACAUAACUUGCAAUUUUCAGUACACCAUUGUGAGAAAACAUACAAAUAUACUCCCAAGCUCAAGCUCAAGAUAGGCUAAAUUUGACAACUACUGUACUCAAAAGAAGCAUUUUGGAUUAUCACAGCAAAAGAAGCAUUUAUGCAGUCUGAAGCAUUUUUAUGCAGUAAAGAAAUUGAAUCCUUUUCUACUGUAAUGUUUGAACUCAGUUUAAAUGGAAGAAGAAAAUGCAAGUGAUAGCUUCAAAAUACAGUAUCCUCUAUGGUUAUUGAUUGCUUUUAUUCCUUUCUUUUGUUCUGAAAUGUCCAUCGAUGGUGCAGAUAUACUGUAAUGUUCAGACAUAAAGCUCAGGGCUCUGCUGUCUGAAGCAUCUUAUGCAUGCCCUGGUUACAAUUUUAUGCAUUUUGUUCUGAAGCAUUUUAUGCAGUCUAAAGCUUAGCUUGUUCUAACUGAAUUUAGUCAGAACAAAACUGCUCUGCUCUGACUAGUUCAAUAGCCUGAACAAUAGCCGUACUAAAUCAUCAAGGGCGCUGCACAUCACGCACCUGAGAUCAAGGGCGCUGCACAUCAUGUAUCAAGGCGCAUCCGGUCCAGUCCUUGGCACUAACUCCUCCUCCAAUCACUGCAAAAACCAAGAGUAGAAAAUCAGCUCGCCUUCUUCAGCAGAAAGAACAAACAAGCAAGCAAGAAAAUCCAUGAAGAAAGAGACCAGCAGCAGACGGCCGCAGCGGUGGAGACGGAGACCUGCGGUACCUUGUCGAGCAUGCAGGAGACGGAGACAAGCAGCAGAAGCAGCGGUGGCGGCGAC
rnacentral:lncRNA from 1 species